CCUACGGGGGGCAGCAGUGGGGGAUAUUGCACAAUGGGGGAAACCCUGAUGCAGCGACGCCGCGUGGGUGAAGAAGCGCCUCGGCGCGUAAAGCCCUGUCAGCAGAGAAGAAAAUGACGGUACCUGAAGAAGAAGCCCCGGCUAACUACGUGCCAGCAGCCGCGGUAAUACGUAGGGGGCAAGCGUUAUCCGGAUUUACUGGGUGUAAAGGGGGCGCAGACGGCGAUGCAAGCCAGGAGUGAAAGCCCGGGGCCCAACCCCGGGACUGCUCGUGGAACUGCGUGGCGAGAGUGCAGGAGGGGCAGGCGGAAUUCCUGGUGUAGCGGUGAAAUGCGUAGAUAUCAGGAGGAACACCGGUGGCGAAGGCGGCCUGCUGGACUGCAACUGACGUUGAGGCCCGAAAGCGUGGGGAGCAAACAGGAUUAGAUACCCGGGUAGUC
rnacentral:rRNA from 1 species